GAAACUUAGGAUUAAAUCAAACCGAAG
rnacentral:tRNA from 1 species